rnacentral:piRNA from 1 species
ACGGAACUGAGGACCGAUCCAGUAUG